rnacentral:rRNA from 1 species
AACUUUCAACAACGGAUCUCUUGGCUCUUGCAUCGAUGAAGAACGCAGCGAAAUGCGAUAAGUAAUGUGAAUUGCAGAAUUCAGUGAAUCAUCAAAUCUUUGAACGCACCUUGCGCUCCUUGGUAUUCCGAGGAGCAUGCCUGUUUGAGUGUCA